CCUUCUCCGCCGUGAAACGGAAAUUCCCGAGCGCGGACGGGGCGGGGGCGUUUCCGGCUUUGGCUGCCGGCGUGAAUCCCAGGUCUGUGGGGCUCUUCAGGUCGGGCGCGGGGAGAACCUGCGCCUUCCGAGGCCGCUGGCCGCGAGGGCCGGGUGAGAGGACGACGGUGGCCCGCGCCCAGCAGGGCCUCUGCGGCCCCGGCGGAGAACCAGCUGAGGCCGGGGCGAGGGUGCGGUUUAGCCACCGCAGGUCGCCCAGCUGGAGCCGAGUGCUUCUUGGAGCACUGCGUUAGCGGGGCUUCUGAGACCAGGAAGGAACGUGGUCCAGCGGGCCUCAGCCUGACCCCGGCUUCAGGCUCGGCUGCAUCGGGUCUGAUCUGACGGUGUGUACUCAAAUUUGGGAUAACAAAUGUGAAAAUCAUUUACCAAAUAAUUUUUGAGUGCCUGCAGUAAAGUAUACAACAAUGCUGUAGGUACUUGAGAUACUUCCAUGACUAAAUUGCUCUCCUGGAAAUUAUAUUCUAACAGGGUUCAUAAAUGAUAAGUAAACUGUAUGCUACUAAGAGUAUCCAGGGUGUAGAGGGAGAAGAGUUUGUGUUAUUAAUAGGAUGCUCAGGGUGGGCUGUACUGAAAAGGAAAUUUGAGAAAAUAUUUAAAGGUGGUGAAACAGUAGAGUUCUUGGAGAAGGAGUAUUCCAGAAAGGGAGAACAACUAGAAUAGAAACCCUAAGGUGGAGAGCAGGCUUUGCAUGUUCCAGGAACAGGAUGGAGGCCAAAGCAGAGUGAGGUGGAGUCAGAAGGGAAAGGGAAGAAGUGCAUGUUCCUGGGGCUUGUGAGCACUGGGACUCUCGUAUCAGUGAGCUGGGGAGGCUUUGCAAGAUUCCCACCAUCAGUGAAGGGAGUCCUAUGUCAGACAAAGGUCCACGACUUUCUGAGAGGCUUUUAAACAGUGGGUUGAUAGGAUUAGACUCUGUGUUGGGAAUAGACUGGAGAUGAGGAAACUGUUGAUUUUUAUGAUGAAAGGCUGAUUGUCCCCAGGCCGCUCCUGAGAAACGCGUCUUAGUGUUGAGCUGAGUACCUCGGACAAAACUAGACAUGACCUUGUGAAAAGAAAAUGCCUUCUGAUUUCAAAAUCCUGGAUAAACAGAGGCGACUCUGCUGGUCUGUCACUCAGGGAGGAGGCAGGAAGGUGCCAGAGGUCCUGUCCCCCAUCACCUUCACUGUCUUUGCCUUUGUAUGCCCAGCCUCUUAGAAGAUUACUACUCAAAGUUGGAGUAGGUUCUUCAAGAUGCUGAAACAGGUCUUUUGUAAAUAUUUAUUUUCAUAGCAGUUGUAUGUGAUAUUUUGCAUGUAGACUAGUUUUUUUAAUUGUAUGCCUUCUUUGGGAAGGUUUUUUUCAUAUAAAUUCCAUACCAACUAAGUUUGGAAUAGCUCAUGAAUUUUUCCAUUUGUGCAUUAAUAUCCUUGUGGUUCAGACAGUACAGAAAGGAGACCGUAAGCAGACAUCUUAAAAAGACAUGGGCCUAUGCCUGAUAAGAGUGUUAACCAGGCUUGGAAGAAGGCAGAGGCCUGAGGAAUGGAGACCGUGGGUAGAGAAUGCAGCCCGAGGGCAGCAUCGUGAGGCAGUUGGUAGCUUGAACAAACCUGGGUUCUAGUCCAUAGCCCUUUACUUACUAGUCACGAGGUCGUGUGUGUUGAUUAUCACGCCUCCUUUCCGCAUCACCAGGAGGCUGAUGGCAGUACCACCUCACACUGCUGCUGUGAGGGCCACGUGACAUAGGCCUGGUAAGUGCCUCACACCCGGUGAACUCUCAACAUGUGUUAGAAAUGAAAAGCAAAACAAACAAACAAAAACAGUCUUUUUAAGCUAUUCCUUUCAACAGUUUAUUUUGAAGCACCUGGAUAUUCAUGAGGAAAAAGGAGCCAAUGUUUCCAGUAAUUUACAAAAAUCAGUUUAAGAUGAAUUAUAAACAUAAAUGUAAAGAAAAAGUUUGCAGCCCGGGUUCCUGACAUCAAAAUGUACUGCAAAGCUGUGUUGUCACAACAGUAUGGUGCUGGCACCAAGUGAACACAGGGGCAGUGGAAUUGAUUGAGAAACCAAAAAUAAACCCAUGUACCUAUGGCCAGUUGGUAUUUGACAAAAAUGCAAAGGCCACUCAGUUGAGAGAAGACUCUCUUCAACCAAUGGUGCUGAACAGUUGGAUAUCUACAUGCAAAACAUGAAGUUGGGCUGGGCUUGGUGGUGCACGCUUGUAAUCCUGGCAGCUUGGGAGGCAGAGGCAGGGGGAUCACGAAUUCAAAGGCACCUUCAGCAAAAGCAAGGCACUGAGCAACUCAGUGAGACCCUGUCUCUAAAUAAAAUACAGACUAGGGCUGGGGAGGUGGCUCAGUGGUCAAGUGCCCCUGAGCUCAAUCCCCAGUACCACACAAAAAAUGAAAUUGGACCUCUGCUUAUACCAUAUACAAAAGUUAACCCCAAAUUGAUCAACACUGUUAAGGGAUGAAUUUAUAAUUUAAAGAUGAUGUUUGGUUAAAUAUGAAUGAUCUUGGAUGUGGCAGUGGAAUGAUAUGGCACCAAGAACAUGAGCAACAGAAACAAAAAAAGUGGACUGCAUCAAAACUAAAAACUUGUGCAUGUCCUCAACAAUGUAGAAAUCACUGCAUUUGUUUUCCGCAAACGGGAGUGUGUUUGCAAAUUGUAUACAGUGGUCUUUCACGUCCUUGGUUGACUGGUUCCAGGACUCCCCUGUGAAUACCCAAGUCCACAGGUUUGCCAGUUACUUUUACAUCUUCCCAUAUACUUUAACUCUCCUCUGGGAUUACUUAUUACUUCCUAAUAAAAUGUAAAUGCCACAUGAACAGUUGUUAUGAGGCAUUUUGAAGGAAAGUGACAAGAACUUGUCAGCUGCAGGUGCAGGUUUUUUCCCCACGUUUUUGUGUCCACAGUUGGAUCCCUGCGUGCAGGACCCUGAUUGGCACUUGCUGUUGUUUGAUAAGGGUCUAGUACCCAGCGUGCACUUGCAGCUCAACACAAGAAAAUCAGCAGCGCUUCUUAAAUGGGUGAAAUACUUGAAAAAACAUUUCUCCAUUAAGAUUUACAAAUGGAAGCUGGAUGCAGUGCUGCGCUCCUGGAAAUUCCACUGCUCUCAGGAGGCUGAGGCUGGAGGAUGGCAAGUUCAAGGCCAGCGUGGGCAACUUAAUGAGAUCCUGUCUCAAGAUUCUGAAACUUUGAGAAUCUCAUGGGCCAGUUGUCAAAAUGCAGAUCCCCAGAGCCAGAAGCUAUCUUUUAAUUGAAGCCUGAUCAGCCACAGGUUGGUAACAGCUGUUGACCGCUGGGUUCACUGUACCUCCCAUUCUACUGCUGAGAUGACAGCAAGGAGCCCUGGGCCUCCUGUUUCUAGGACGGGGGACCACCUUCAUCACCUAGCAGUGCGAGGGCUGGAGAAUAAGGGCAUGAGCCCACCCAGUGAGGAGUGGACCUGGAGGUGUGGGUGAGGUGCCCUGAAGCCUGCACUCCUGGGGCUCAUGUGGUCUGUCUCCUUACUGCAAUAAGCCACAGUGUGAACAUGGCACUUUCACUGAGUCAUAUGAGACCUUUUGGUGGAUCAUUGAACCCGAAGGUGGUCUUGGAGACAACAAAAUGGCCUUGGCACUACCAAACUCUGUUCGGGUAUGAAAGAAAAGUUUUCGGCAGAUACAACAUUUUUGUUUGUAUGUGGUGCUGAGGAUCGAACCCGGGCCGCACGCAUGCCAGUGAGCGCGCUACCACUUGAGCCACAUCCCCAGACCAGAGGUGGAAGUAAAGACUGUCUGUCACCUUUACUCAUGAGUCCACAAAAACGAACUGACUCCUGAAAACCAAGGGCAAGAGCUUUCCCUGAGUGCCAUCAAAGUAACUGACUUUUGAGAAAUUAUACUGUUUCGCAGUGUUUCAGGUGGUGUGGAAGUUCAAACCCAGCGCCUCACACAUGCUAGGAAAGCGCUCUACCACUGAGCCACAGCUCUGUCCCAAAAUCUACAUUUUCUUUUCCCCCACAUCUAUGACAAAUGCAGCAAGAAGUUCCUUAAAGAAAAGUAAAAUUUAAAGUAAAAAAAAAAAACUAGAAUAGCAUUCAAACUCAGAAGGUCAUUGACUCUGAUGAAGUUGUAAGUCAACAACUUAAAGGAACACGGGAUUUAAAAGCAGCUCCAAGUGCAUUUCCAGAGACCACUGUGGGAGCACAUGCCCUUCAACCAAGUGGAAAGGCUUCCUUCCCCUGGACCCCUAGGCCCAGGGCUCCAGCUCACAGUGGGUCUAUUCUCCAGCCAGGAAACAAAUCAACAGAACCCCAACAGCCUGUCCCAGCCAACCUUGAUCUCUUCUUCAUAACUAUAAAGACAGAUGAUUUCUUCUGGAUCCCGUCUGAAUCCCUUUCUAGCACAGAGGCUUGUUAUGGAGAUAAGAGACACUGCAUAUGAAAGGGCCCCCCCCCAACUCUCACAAAGUAAAGGCCACGCCAUUGCCAAAGCCUUUACUUUGAAUAAGUAGACUUCUUCCCUUUUGCUUUUAUUCUUCUCUUAAUCCAUCAUUAUUUUCUUGAUAACAAAACUGCUAUGUUAGAUCAUAAUGUUAUUCAGUUAGGCUGAAAAUACUUAAAAUAUUUUUUGUUUUGGCUCUCAGUAAAACUAACAAAAGUACUCUACACAGCCAACUUUUACUCUAGACUCAUGUGUUUAAAAUGACAAAAAAAAAAAAAAAAAAAAGCCAGAUGCAGUGUCACACGCCUGUAAUCCCAGCAGCUCAGGAGGCUGAGGCAGGAGGAUUAAGAGUUCAAAGCUACCUUAGCAACUUAGUGAGGCUCUAAACAGCUCGAGAUCCUGACUCUAAAUAAAAUUCAAAAAGGGGCUGGGGGUGUGUGGUUCAGCGGUUUAGUGCUCCUGAGUUCAAUCCCUUGUACCAAACAAAAACAAAACCCCACAAUGGAAAGAUUCCGCUUUCUAAAAAGUUGUUUUUCUCCCUCAUCUUCAACGACUGACCAGCUGCUCCCCACGCUCCUGUCAGGGAGGGCUGGGGUGCAGCUCAGUGGCAGAGCGCUUGCCUACUGUGCUGGGCACAGCGUCCCUCCCCUAAUACCAUAAAAUAAACAUAUAAAUUGCAGUGGAAGUGAAAUUACAGAAGAGGACGUGCACCCUCUGAAGCCAUCUUGUACACACCUCACUUAAACCAAUUGUCACAAAGGUCACUGCAGGUAAAGAACCCAGUGGCGACACUAAGUUGUGUUCUUAGCAUUCGUAAACAAAGUAGCAAGAGGACUGCAGGCCAGGGACCCAGGCCUGCCUUGGAGGCGUCUCCCUCCUGGGGGUUGGGAGCAGUCUGUGCCAGGGCCAGGGAGAGCUGAAAGGCAGUGUGCCCAGUAGGCGGCAUGCUUUGGAUUGUUUUCUGGUCAUCCCAAAAGGUGUCCUAUCAGACUGGAGAUUUGGCUCCCUCCCCAGCUGCUCUCCCCGCCAUUACAUUACUAUUUUUAAUAUUAAGGUUUUUGCCAGAGUACCAGUGCCUUCUUCAUCUUUUUAAUUCUCAGGUAAAAGAUCAGUUUAUCCGGAAAUAGGCCUCAAAGGAGAAAUGGAAAGAUUUUGUGAAAAGAUGAAUAUUUCAAGUGCAAUACAAAACCCCUCAUUCCUGGAUGGACGAGGAGAAUCAGCUAGGAGGCAGUGCUCGAUUUGAGGCUUUUCACUGACUUUGGUUAAAAGCACAACUUGUCUCUAUUUUACUUCUAUUAUUAAGAACCACAUAUAAUAAGCCAGAAAAUAUGCUCUAGAAAUUAUUUUAAAAGGUUAGAAAUUGAAUUAUAAAAAUAACAAUAAAAUUAAAACACUUAAAAACUUGGAAGAAAAGUAAAUGGGAUACGAAAUAAAGUAAAAAAGUUAUUAAAUCAGUUUUGUCAUAGUGACCAAAAAAUGGAGCAAUUCAAGGCUAAAUUAGCAUCACUGGUGAAAUGGCAUCUUUUUAAAAAUGUUUUCUAUUUUUAUUUUCUGGUACUAGGGAUUGAACCCAGGGGUGCUUAACCACUCGACGAGCCACAUCCCCAGUCCUUUUUGAUUUUGAGACAGGGUCUCACUAAGCUGCUUAGGGCCUUGCUAAAUUGCUGAGGCUGACCUCAAACUUGUGAUCCUCCUGGCUCUUGUGUUGCUGGGAUUACAGGCAUGUGAUACUUCGGCCAGUUUCAAAUUGCGUCUUGAAUUAAUUUGUGAUGUGGAAGUUAAUUCAGUUCUUUAAAUAUGCAUAAAAUAUGUUUAUGAGAGUGUGAAUCCAUCUGCUAGAGACAUGUGCGCACACAUGCAUGGGCGCGCGCGCGCACACACACACACACACACAACUUCUUUGUGCCCCACCUACCAGCUGAUGUUUCCUGAUUCCAUUAUCUUCAACGGAUGUGCUUUGAAUGGCCUCUGUGAGUAGUUAGUCACAGGCAGAGAAGAUGGUAUAAAGUUAACCAAGACUCUGCUUUUUCGGAAACUUGGAAUGUAGCAGAACAAAUUAAUUGCACGGAGAAUAAAUGGUAGUAAAAAUAGAGUAGAAUAAAAACCAUAAAUGAGACCCUUGAUGGUAAAGGAGUUCAAGGAGUGUCUUUUUGUUUGGAGAAAACAGAAGAGUUCCAUUAGGAGCAUUUAGUGUGGGCUUCGCAGGAUGCUGAGAAUGACAGAAAUGCAGGACCCCUGUGGUGUGAGCCAGGACACCUGGCAGCCAUGCAGAGAGGGAUCCCCAUGGAGGCUCUGUGUGUGGCCGCUCAAGUUCUGAGAACUACUUGCUGGACUACUUGCUGGGACUGAUCAGCAGGUACACAUAUCACCCAGCAAAGAGGACACAGUGGAAAUGGACAGGGAACUUGAGGCUAGCAACGUCUCAGAAGCAGAAUCUUUAGGACCUGUGAACAUCAACUUGGUGACAGAAGGUCACAGGUGUAGGCAAGUCUUGCAGGAGGAUGAGUGGAGGGAGAGAAGAGGGAGAAACGUGUUUACAGCCUGGGAGCCCCCGUCUGCUCUGGGAAGGUGUUAGCAAUCCUUGUUCUGCAUUUUAACAGUCUUGAUAAUCUCAUGCUCAAAUACUCAGAAAUUUUUAAACCAAACAAAAGAAGUCUGUAUAAUUCUAGCAUUUGGGAGGCUGAAGGAUCACAAGUGUGAUGCAACCUCAGAAACUUAGUGAGAUCCUGUCACAAAGCUGGGGAUGUGGCUCAGUGGUACAGCACCCCUGGGUUCAAUCCCAGAACCACACACACAUUACAAGAAACGAUGUUGUAGAAGGAGGCUCUCCAGGGAGUCAAAGGAUAACUGAUGGAGUUCAAUGCUUAAAAGGUAAACCAGCAAGAACCCACACUUGCCAAACAGAGUGCAGGCCAGUCAGUGCAAGGUGGGCAUUUCAGUCUGCCCAGACUUGUCUAGCACUUUCUCUGAAAAAUGCAGGAAGUAAGUGUGUCAUGCCUCCUAGAAAACCAAGGAGCUUGAAAUAGUUAUCUGAAGAGCUGUCCUUGAACUUGCUCACCAGUUUUUCCAUAUUGGUCAGUUCUUCAGAAUCUAGAGAGAUUUCAUGAAAGGUCAAUUACUCAUUCCGUACCAUUGCUAAAAUUCCUAAAAUUCCUGUCCAUCCUACUAGGCAAUGGCAACUGAUGUCCAGCCCCCAGGGACCAGAGCCUAGGAUGCCACACUAGUGACACACGCAGCUGGAGCUGCCUGUUCCUCGCCACCCCCCUGUCAGGCCUCCUGGCUCUGUUCCUGCCAGAGUGACUGCGUCCCCUGUCCCACCAAGGAAAUGCUAUCCUGGGCACACUCCAACCAAGCAGAGCAGCAUUCCGAGGGUUCCUCGGGGGUUGCUGAGCCAAGGCUCUGGCAGGAGGCCUCUGACCCAGGAGGACAGAGGCUGGGCUUCACAGCGACCUUCUGGCGCUAGGCUGUGGAGUCAUCGUCAUUGCACAGCCUUCUGAGCCCAUCCUAGGAGGCCUGUCCUAGGGGGCCCAUCCCAGGGGGCUGAUUGGGCUGGGCUGGUCCUGAGGAGCUUCGGGAGACAUACGCGAGCACUGCCCAUGAAAGAACGACCCACCAAAGCAGGGAGGCUCCCAGCCACCCUGCGCACUGACCCCUGUGCCCACCGCCCUGCCCCUGAGCCAGGACUGCCUCCCUGGGCGAAGCCGUGGAGGACCUGCUCAGAGCAGGGCUUGGCUUGCCUGGGCAACAACCAGGGACAGAGACGGGGACGUGGGCUCGGCCUCCGGCCUCCCAGGGGAUUUCCCCGCCUUGCUCCCAGGUCAGAGACAGGCUGGGGUCACUUGUUGGUGACAUGGUUUGCCUUGGGUUUCAGUAGCUCUCCUGGGCUUUGUGUUUUGAAGUGACAGGAGAAGGCAGUGAGAUGGAUGCUGUGCAGACUUAGCAGUCGAUCUGGGCUUUGGGGCAUGAGAAGGUUCUGAAGGUGACAUUGGGGAGGAAGGGCUGUCUGGGGACAGCGAGUCUAGUGUCCCCCAGACCCCAACUCUGGUGAGGAAUGGAACAUUUAACAUUCUCUGUCGCACGUAGGCUGUAUCUUCCUUGUGAUGUCCAAACUCCAGUUGGCUCUGGGUACACUGAAGUCCUCAGACUCUCCACAGCCCCUGGUCCUCCAGUGCCAGCUCUGGUGUGUGAGCCGGCCCUGGGCAGGCUGCCUGGCCAGGAGCCUGAGGCAGGGGUUCUUGUCCAGUGAUUGACAGAGAAACUGAGAAAUGAAGAAGUUAGCGGAGGCCUCCACUGGGACCUGCCUCAGCUGGCGCGAUGGCCCCACCAGGUUGGCCCCACCGGAGAUGGGGAACUGGCUUUUGUGCUCCCCGUCAGUAAUGCUGGUGCUUGGGGACAUGGCUCCUGUGCAGCUGGCACACUGGUUCCCUGAGAAGUGACAGGGGAGCAGUGGAGCAGCAGGUGGCGGCUGGGCUGCCAUUCAGAGCCCACCAUGCCAGGCUGGCCUGAGGGUGCAAGCCCGCCCCAGGUGAGCUGGACGAGUCAACAUGUCACCCUGCAGCUGCCCAGCCUGGGCUCGGUGCAGAAGCGUGCUCCAUGCAGGCUACAGUCCUGACACCUCACCUAGCACGCGCCUUGCGCUGACUUCAGCCAAGCGGGAGAUGAAGUGGAGCAAACCUGACUGACUGGGAUUCAGGGCGGACCAACAGCGUCAGCCCAGCCCCAGUGAGCAUAAGUUUAGGCCAACAGUGUCAGUGCUAUUCCACACCCGAAUUAGCACUAGUUUGGACCAAUGACAACCGUACUUUUCCAAAACGUAAUUAGCACAGUUUGGGCCAAUGGUGUUGACCCAAGUGCUGUGUAAACCUGAACUCUGCACCUUCAGUGGCAACGCUGGGGAGGUCUUUUUGCUCUUUGGGGCCUGCAUUUCUGUGCUCAUCGAGCAAAUCCUACUCUUACACUUACUCAUCUUGUCUCUGGACUUCAUUCUUGCAAUUCAGGAAGCAAGAAUCCAGAAAGAAGAAGUUGGUGGGGACUUGCUGGGGUCUGCUGCAGCAUGCUGGGCAUGGCCCGGUGCUAAGAGCUGCAGAGGCCUGCCCCUCUGCGGACCCCACCUUCCUUCUCAAAACCUCAGUUGUCCCACAGAACAGGACAGUGAGGCGACCUCUAAACGGGUGGUAGGGCUGUGUGCAGUGAAAGUUCGCCCUGCACACCGUUGCUGGCCAGCAAUCCUGCAGUCGCAGCCGCUCAGGCUGGGUGUGCUGGUCAAGGGGGUACAGGGUGGGCCAGCCGUGCCUCCCAGGAGGCCCUCCCAGGUGCCCAGCCAUCAGGCCAGAGUCCUGGUGCUUGAUCCUGGUGUGGUGUUCUGCCCCUCUGCCCCACUGGUGGUCUGCAUUUACCUGCAGCUGCCCACACUGGUGUGACACAGAUGUGUGGCUGGCCUGGUCCUCAGGUGGCCCCAUCUGCUGAGGCCUAGCUGGGAGCCAUCUGAGGGAUGUGGCCAAUGCUGUGGCAGCCUGGGGAGCUCGGAUUCUUGUGGGGGAAGGAGGGUGCUGCAUUCCCACCCACCCACAGGCUCCCCAGCACCCCCGGGUGCCCCUUCAGUGCUCUGGGGUUCAGCAUGUGCCCGCAGCCCGUGGAGCAGCUGGAGGGCCUCCUCCCCUUCCCCGGCAGGGCUUCUCCAGGCCUGGUGGUCCCUCCUCUGCCCUCCACAGCGUGCUGAUGUUCAGCCUCUGCCCGGGGACUGUUCUGUUACCACUUUAAACUCUUGGAGCUAAAAAUACCUUUCUCUCUGGAUGGCCUGUUUGUUUUUUGUUUUUAUUACUCUUUUCUCAGCUGUGGAUUUCGAAACUACUCAAAACAAAAGCUGAGGCAUAAUCGCUCCUUUCUUUCCCUGUUCUGCUUGAGUAACUCAUCCUCCCCAGGGCGGGCCUCCCCAGAGCCUCUGAACCGGAGGUUGGGGGAGUGCUGCUUCUGCGCAGAUGGAGGAGGCGGCUGGGCUGGGAGUGGACAGAGAGGCGUCUUGGGGACACUGAGGGACUGAGUUCUCUGAAGAGGAGGGUGUGUGCUAGGAAAGUGCCGGGAAGGCACGUGGAGCAAAAAUGUGGAAAGUGAGCCCCGGGAAAUGCCCGGCUCCCUUCACCCCACACGGAGGGCGGUCGGGCCCAGAGGAAGUGAAGACCAGAUCACGGGAGACACCUUCACCCGGCACUGUGGCCACGCCUGUGAUCCCAGGCCAGCCUCAGCAGCUUAGUGAGACCCUGUCUCAAAAACUAAAAAGGGCUGGGGAUGUAGUCAGUGGCAGAGUGCCCCUGGGUUCCAUCCCCAGUACCACAACAAGGUAUCCAGUUGCUCACCCUGUGUGGCCGUGAAGGUGUGAUACUCGGAAUACCCACCGCCAGAGGAGAAUUCAAAAGUCAUGAGAAAGUAAUUCAAAGUAUCUGACAGCUAAAUAAAAACAGUAUCAAGAAACAGGACAAGAGAAAGCAUGUUUCUUCAUUCUAGGAAGGACACAUGAAGGGGAGAAUCUUAUUCUGGUUUAAUAAAUACAAGUAAUGAUCAAAGACAGGUUUAGCCACCUAAGUGAGAAGUCCAGCUGUCCGGUGUGUUCCAGAAACUCACCAGAGCAAACAGCCACACGGUCACUCUCAGGGCCAGAUAUUUGGAUCAAAGGAAUUUGACAGACUUUUUUCACAAGCUUUUCAUGGGGGUUCUGAGCAAGCUGUGCCACUAACACAGCCCGAGCAUGCCUGCCUUUCCACUGGGACACUGAGUGACAAUAGAGCCACAGCCAUGAGCUUCACUGGCUGCAGUUCACUCUUGCUCAUGGGUCGGAGCUGGGUAGUCACAGGCUUGGAUUCCAGUCCUAAUUACUGAUCCCCGUGACGCGCCUCCCACGUCCAUCCUACUGUGUUACAGAACGGUGAGGAAAGGGUUAGGCGGCCCCAGGGGUUCAGGAGGCUGAGCUGAGAGCAAAGGCAGAGGGCAGUGGGCAGAUGAGACUGGGGCUAGCUUCAGACCACACUCUGAAACACUCCUUCAGGCUCACUCUAGGCUAGGGGCCAGACUGCAGCCUCAGUGUCAGCUUGAGAUGUCAUCUGUGUCAUCGUCACAGGCAGAAGAAACAGCACUGAGCAAAAUAAAAAAUAAGAAGGGCUGGGAUGCAGCUCAGUGGGAACGCGCCCUGGGUUCCAUCCCCAGUACCAAAGAUAAAGGAGUAAUGAAGAUUUGAAAGUACUUGCAAGUGGGCUGCAGUGGCUCAGUGGCAGAGGGCUUGCCCAGCGUCCACUAGGCUCUGGGCGCCAUUCCCAGCUCCUCAAAAAAUACAGUUGUUAUGAUUUCAGAGUGGCCUGAAGGCCUAAUUAGCCUGGCCCAAGCAUCAUUUAAAAACAAAACCCAAAAAAACCCUCUGAGGAUCUAUCAUUUCUCCUACUUUAUACGUGACGUUGAGACUCAAGAGAAUUUGUUUCAAAGUGAUACACCCAGUAAGUAAUGACAGUAAGUAAUGAUGGAAGAAUUUUAAACUGAGCCUGUUAUCCAAGUCAGAGAACAGUCUGUCCAAUAAGAAGUAAUUAGUUAGAUAGUUAAUGUUACACCCAUAUCAUGGACUAUUAUGCAGCCAUUCAAAUGAUGCACAAAUUAUUUUAAACUGAAAGAGAAGGUAAAAAAUGUUUAUUAUAUGACUUUAUUUAAAAUAUGUAAAAUUAUAAAAAUAUAUAUAAAAUUAUAAAUGUAUGUCUACUUUCCUAUAAAGAAAUAGAAGCAAAUUGAAACUAUAGGAACCCUUGUCUAAAAAUGAGCAAGCAUUUCACGAUGGGGUCGGCAAGGCUCGGACCUCAAACACAGACCCCGGGCCGCGCCAAGCCAGCACUUGGGCAGCGGCACCAUGACCGUGCUCCUGGUGUCCUCCCUACAGUGACCUGUGUCUUUCCCUGGUAAUAGGAAGGACAUACUCAUGGAAUGGCCUGGAGUCCAGGGCAGCCCGUAGGUUGGGGCUCGGGCUCUGCAGAUCUAAACCCAGACGUGCCGGGCAGAGCCAUUUCCCUGCCGCUGACCUCCUGCUCUGCUUCCCACUUGCUGUACUUGGGUGCAGUUUGUCUCCCAAGGGCUCAUGAGCUGGGGGCUUGGUCCCCGUGUGAUGCUGCUGAGAGAUGCUGGACCCUCGCGGAGAGUAGGCACAGGGCACUGCCCUGGAAGGGACAAUGCCAUCUCAAGAGGGGCUUAGACAGUACUGAGUUGUAAGACCAAGUGGUUAAGAGUGAGUUUGGUUUUCUCGUUUAUUCUCUUGCCUCCUCCUGGGGUCCCAUCCCCAGCACCCACACCUGUGCGACCUCUAUCUCUCACGUGUGAUCUUGCCACAUGACGCCAUCCGCCACAAGGCCUUCACCAGAAGCCAGUGCCAGAACUGUGAGCUAAAUAAGCCUCUUUUCUUUAUGAGUUAUCCAGCCUUAGGUUGGUUAUAGUAACACAAAUGGACAAAGACAUUGCCUGAAUAAUUUGAUCCCCAAGCCAGUAAGAGGGUGGAACAAAAAUAAGCAUUCAUAUUAGGGAAUGGGGUUGGUGACCCUGAAUAAGGAGCCGGAGCCCAAGAGGGAUGGAAGGGCAUCUGCAUGGAGUCGGGUGGCAGUGGGGGAUGUCACAUGGAGCCCAGGCAAGAUAAGGAAAGCACUCAUGAGGGUCCGUCCUCCAGCAGGGGAUGUUGGAGGCAGAAUGAGGUGAGGAAGAGGCCCCUUCAGGAGCAGGGUGAGGAGGAGAGACUGAAGAUUGGAGGGGAAUCUAAUAAACCAAUACACUGAGUAAAGGGAACCAGAUUGCUUACUGUUAGAAAAGAGUUCCGUGGCACAUGUCUGUAGUCUCCGUGACGUGGGAGGCUAAGGCAGGAGGAUCAAAGUUUAAGGCCAGCCUCAGCAACUUAGCAAGACCCUGUCUCCAUAUUAAAAAUGAAAUGUGCUCGGGAUGUAGCUCAGUAGUGGAGCACCCCUGGGUUCUGCCAAAAAAAGAAAAAAAAGAGUUACAAAUAUAAAAAGGAGAAAAAUGUAAUUGAUACUAUGGUGUUGUGGUGUGUAAGAUUAAAACUGGGUAUAUCACUUGUGUUUUCAGUAGUAUAAGUGUGUGAGCAUGUGUCCAUAUACACGUAUGUAGAGAUUUCCAGACCUGCCUGAGAGCCAUGUCGUUGCUCUAACAUAGAGCAUACCUAGCCCAGAACAUUCCUAAUUCCACUCUGUGAACACACACACACCACGACUAGCAGCAGCAGCUGCAACCAACUUUAAAGAUAUACCUGAUUUCAGGUCUAGGGAAGGGAAUUUACGAGAACAGUCAGUGACAUUUGUUUGUGUCUGUCAGAAAGUAAAAAUGGGUUCAAAGAAUGACAGGAAUCUGGCAUGACAGAUCUUGGACAUGAUGGCACCCUACUGGCUGGCCAGCCUGGGGUAAGAGGGCCAUCAGUGAACCGCAGUGAACCGCGGUGGACGAGGCAGGAGCAGGCUGGGCUCUAGGCCAGCCAGGUGGCUGAGUGAGGCCCUCUCUCAAAAUACAAUCUUUGCAAAAGGACAGGGGAAGUGGCUCAGUGGCGAUGCUGCCGACCAUGCUUGAGGCCUGGUCCCGUCCCCAGCACCCACACCCAGAAACAGCCCCACAGCAACGUGGCAGACACAUCAUUGCCCGGGAAACCAAACCAACAUGUGAGUCCUACUAAUGUGAAAAUACCAAAUCUACGAAGGAAGAGAAAGCUUUUCCUUACAGCGCAGUGUCACCUAAUAAAAGUGGAAGGAGUGGUGACAUCGCCAAUGCCAUUCCGUGUCACAUAGAAGCUGUUGUGUGCCUCCAAGGCAAAGCACAGACAGCUUGCCAGGUUGGGAACCAAAGGGAAGGUCCCGACUAACACAAGACGGAUAAAGGACGGCUCCUCUGCAGCCUCAGUGGGCCAGGUAAUUGGCACUUACGUUCCCAGUGCGUUGACACAUCCCAAUCUCAAGGAACGUCCCCAUUCCCACAUGUGUGCAAAGUGGAAAGACCUUUCUGGGAAAAUUCUCUAACCAAGUGAAAAUUAAAUUCAUGAUAAGGAAGAAGAGAGUUCAAGAAACACUGGACGAUGAAUCAGAUAAUAUUCACAGUGAGGUCGAAGAUGACGGUGGCUAACUGGGAAUUACUCUGUUAGGGAUUGCGAAACAGGAGAGACUCGUUUCUCAAUCCUCAGGCCAUGUCCAGGGUUGCAACGCUGUCAUUAUCUUGUCCAACGCAAGACCCUGGUGGCAGGGAAGAUGACCUGGUUAAGGUCCUGAAUCUCUCACUUCCCUGGGAGAAGAGGAGAGCCUAGAGCUUGAGAUCCGGUCAGAAGUCUGCGAGUAGAGCUGGGCUGUGGCUCGGCGGGAGAGCACUUGCCUGGCACGGGCGGGGCACCGGGCUCCAUCCUCAGCGCCACGUAAAAAUAAGUGAAGUAAAGGUGUGUGUCCAUCUACAACUCAAAAAAAAUGUUUAAAAGUCAAGGCUGUGCACAGUUCUGGCAUGUGAGUAGAAAUACAGACUUAAUAAGACGGGGAGGAACGGGACGGCUGUUAGGACAGCUGAAAGGUCUGCCAGGGACGAGCGGGUACAGUCCUGGUUACUUACCCUCCACGUAGAACGGUGAGCGCACUACUGUGCUGAAGGAGGUCCCCAGCUGCAGAGUGGAGGCCCGUGGUGGGAAUUCCCAGUGUGAGCCCAGGAGGAAAGAAAGGAAAAGAAGGGUGUCCGCCCAAUCACCAAAGUCAGACAGGGAAGUCGACAUCUAGAAAUGAACAAAUUGGAGGGAAUAAAGUCACAUGAAUGUUGACUGUGAACGCAAAGUGCUCCUACCCAAAGGCAAACAUUUGAAAAUCAGAUCCAGUCACGGACGACGAGGGUCAGAGUGGCAGCAAGUGACAGAUGUGAAGCAGGAUGAUCUGAGGAAGGGUGGCUGGGGAAGGUGGGGGUGGGAGAACAGCCUGCAGCCCCCGUGCCCUGGGCUAAGUCCAGCAGAGCGGCCACCUUCCUGGCCCGGAGGGCAGGGCGCAGUGCUAGACCUGGAAGGGAGGACACACCGGAGGAGGCCACCAGGGAAGAGCAGUGACUCCGGCUGAGAGCCUCGCAGCCCCAGGGGCGUCACAGGGAGGGCUAGAGAGCACAGGCAGCAGCUGGCCUGGACGUGCAGAGCAGCCUGCGGGGGCAGAGAGCAGGCAGGGCCCAGGGCGUCCAGAGGUGCAGGUGCUAUUCACAGAAUCAGAGCCUGGGUAAGGGGUGGCAAAGGUGUCCAGCUGCCGGCCCUCUGAUGGAAUGGAGCGUUGGGGAGUCCUGCUCUGAUCAGGUUCCUAACUGCAACAGCACUUGUCCUACCAGCCAGGAGACACGGAAUUUAUGCUACACCCAAAUCUGGGACGUGUGUGAGAGGGGGUGUCACUGAACUGCUCACCUGGGUGCCAGGCCACCAGAAUAUCACUCUGGGACUUAUAUGGGCACAGCGGCCAACGUCCCUGUCCCCACCAUCUAUGUAAAGGAAGGAAUGGGACAGGGAGGUGGUAUGAGGGCCCUGGGAAUGCAGUGUUCCAGGGGAGGGGUGCGGCUCCUGGACUGGGGGCCGCAGGGUCCCAGGACACCACUCCAGUCAGGUUGCAUGCCACAGCAGCCCGGCCAGAGAGCUCCCAGAGAAUGUGGAGGCCGGGAAGGGAGAUCCGGAGAGCCUUGAGGGCGGGGCCAGGUGAUGGCAAGGCUGAAGGGGACCGGAGGCCGAGGCAGCUCUUCUCCCCACUCCUGCACCAGCGGGCGCUGCUCUGUGGGUCUCAGUCCUUCAGUACUGGAAACAGCUCCGGCCUGGCGCACAGGUGUUACCCAGCUCUUCAAAGACUCUGUGCAGUGGGUGGAGAGUCCCCACAGAGGCCAUUUGGUAAAUUGUGUAUGGGAAGUGCUUCUCCACAGCGUGGCAGAAGGAGCCACCUCAACGUGGCCAAGGAGCACCUAAACGCCCAGAGCAGCAGGUUGGCAAACAUAGCAGCUUCCUGAAAUUUAAUUCUGAGAAUAGUAAUUCUAUCACUUAUGUAGCAAGACAAGAAACUAUAAGGUUGAGGAAGGAGAGAGUAAAUUCAUUUUAUAUGUGAAACAUUUAUAUAGAUAAACCUUUAAAUGUAUUUAGAAAUAUCAACAUAAAUGUAUUUUUAGACUCUGAUUGCAGCAGUCCCCAAAAGGGCCUUGGCCAGGGACAGACACAGCGAGGGCGAUGGUGCUCGGGCUGGAGGCGUGUGGGUGGAGUCGCCACUGCAGUCAGACUUCUGUUGUCCUGAAGUUGCUUAAGCAACAAAUGAAAUCAGAGGCCUGAGAAACAGGGACAAAUGGGUGGAAGGAUGACAGGCAGCCAUUAGACAGCACUCAGGAGUUUCACUGUGGAGGAAGCAGAGGACGGGGUGGACCCGGGAAGGGAGUCGGGUGGGGAAAGGGUCUGUGUGCCGCCGGGAAGCUCAAACACAUCUUCAGAAUGAUGGACUGACAGCGAGUGGGGACACCGGUGCUGCAGAAAGCAGGUGCAGGAGCCAGGCCUCCGCCAGGAGAGGGGUGGGGCCUGCACAGCAGUGGAGGCCCUGAGCCAGGGCAGGCCGGGAGGAGGAGAGUGGGCGGAGUGGACGCCGCGGGGUUGGUACCUGAUGGUGAACCUCAUGGGGAUUCUGUUCUGAUGGACCCCUCGAUCCCAGGGAAUGAGCAAAGCAAGGGUCGACUGAAAGUGUGGAGUCUAAGACAAAGGAGGUGGAGAAGGCCUUCCUGGUGCAAAGAGUUCAAGGACCAGGCCACGCAAGCUUCCUGGGAGCCGAGGUCCACUGGAGGCUUGGCAGGACGGUCUCACUGCCACGUCCUGGGGAGACCCCGCCCGCGCCACCUUCUCGGCCACCUCCCCUGGCUCCAUUGGCAUCUCAGGUGGUCCCUCUGAGAGGAGCUGGUGGGUGCUGUCACCCUUCUCACCUCACCUGAGCACAGGGAGAUGGCGAGCGGCCGGCGGCCGUGGCCCAGUGUCAGCUCCUGUUCACUCUGGGCACUCUGUCCUCACACGAGGGUGUCCACAGACAUGGGUACCCUGGUGCCAGGCUCUGCUCCUCUGGCCGGUUGGUGUGAAUGCACGAGGGCGACCCCAGAGGCAGGAUGCAGAAAAAUGAAGGAAUCAGUCAUUGUGCUCUGAGCCGUGAUGCGAUCUUUUUUCUUUUCUUUUUUUAUUGGGUGACUUUAAGUGAUGACAGGGCCACACAGAUUGCAUGACUAACUCUGCUCAAAGCAGCAUACUCCUUUGUAGCCUUUUGCAGUUUGAACGCUGAUGUCAUGGGCACUACUUCAUGGUGGUGAGGUGAACGGGAGGGCACGGUGGGUUCAUCCUAGGGGAUCAGGAGAUGACCAGGGAAUGCAUAAGAAACCCCGAGGGGAAGCAAACACAGUGAGAGGGGAAAGAGAGGGAAGUGAUUGAGCAAGACAACAGCAUUUUGUUCUUGUUCCUUUAAGAAUACAUGUUCUAGGCCGGAAUCCCACAGGCUGGAGGCUGAGGCAGGAGAAUCAUGAGUUCAAAGCCAGCCUCAGCAACUUAAUGAGACCCUAAGCAGCUUAGCAGGAUGCUGUCUCAAAACAAAAAAUAAAAAGGGUUGGGUAUGUGGCUCAGUGAUUAAGUGGUGGGUUCAAUCCCUGGUAACCAAAAAAACAAAACCAAACCAAAAAAGCAAAACUUAUUAUAUCUGGGCACAGCUGAAUACCAGUGGCUCUGGAGGCUGAGGCAGGAGGAGGCCACAAGUUUGAGGCCAGCCUCAGCCAUUUAGUGAGAUCUGCUGCAAAAUAAAAAAUGAAAAGGGACGUAGCUCAAUGGCGGAGUCCCUGGAUUCAAUCUCCAGCACACACACACACACACACACACACACACACACACAGUUAUCUGUGGAGUAAGUUCAGCAGAAAAGAACAAGGUCAGUGUGCUGGACUGGGGUUUCCUGCCUGACCCCAGAGGCUAGCCCACGGUGACCCCUGUGGUCCACCGGAACAGGGACAGCCUCUUCCCUUGCAGAUGGCGAGCUGCACCUCUUCGAGUCUUGGGCCUCUGGUCAUGCCUGUCACCGGCCAGCUGGAGCCGGAGGACUGCUUUGAAUACUGGUGUUCUAACAUCUCAGGUCACAUGGCAGUCACUGUCCGGCAGUGUCUCACAGACUCAGGAAAAGAUCCCAGUUCCACAGUGAGGCUGAAGUCCAGAUGAAACCAGUGAGGAGCGGGCAGCGUUGGCCUCUGGCUGUCUGAAGGCAGCUUCUGGGGUGCCCAUCAGGAAGAGUGUGGGGAAGGAAGCCCUCAGGCCACUUUUGUGUGAGGCUUAGACUUGUUGAGACCCACCUGACCCAGCUGCCCAAGUCGGGAGACCUUCGUCAUCCAGUGAAGGCCUUACAGAGGGUCUUCUGUAUGGAGGGUGGGCUAUUGCCUUCCGCCAGCUGCCGCCGCUGCACCAAUGAUCAAGUGCAGUGAGACCCGUGGAGGGAAGACCAAGGGACGAGGAGCAGCCAGGAGUUACUUCUGAGAGAGUAAUCAGAAUCAUGCAGAGAGCAGACCGUAACGAAAUGGGGAUUAAUUAAAAGUCCACAGACAACAGGUUAAAUAAACUACAGUAUAUCCACACAAUGAGAUAGGGUCAUAAUAAAGUCAUGGAAAACCAAUUAAUGACGCAUGGAAAUGUUCAGGAUAUAUGAAUACAUGGAAAAUAAAGUUAUGAAAGAGUGUGUUUGGCAUGACCCAAUUAUGUAAAAACAAAAUAAAGCAAGACAAAAACUGUGUCUCUCUACCCUCAUCUGUUCCUCUGUCUGGGAAGGGUAUACCAGCAAAUGUUCCCACAAUAAUUUUGGCCGCAGAUAGUACAGCAAUCUUUUCUUCUUUGAGCUUGCCUUCAUGAAUAUUCCCAAAGUUACAGAAACAAAAACAAAUAUAUAAUUGGAUUCAAUAUAACUGACAUUUGAAAGAGAAGAUCUCAGGGUGUGUUAAUCAACCCAACUCCUAAAUUAUCUAUCCUCUUGUUAGAUCAACACACCACAAUAUCUUUGAAAUAUGACAUUUUAAUCCCUGCAGAAAUGCUGCAGCAUAGGUGAUUAAAAAUUGAACAUUGGCUGGGUGCGGUGGUGCAUGCCUGUAAUCCCAGCUGCUCAGGAGGCUGAGGCAGGAGCAUCUUGAGUUCAAAGUCAGCCUCACCAACUCGAGGCACUAAACAACUCAGUGAGACCCUGUCUCUAAAUAAAAUACAAAAUAGGGCUGGGGAUGUGGCUCGGUGGUCAAAUGCCCCUGAGUUCAAUCCCUGGUACCAACAAAAUAAAUACAAAUAAAAAUUUAAAAAGUUGAACACUUGACUGACUUUGAUAUGAAGAACAUUUUCUUUUUUUUUUUUAGAGAGAGAAUUUUUUAAUAUUUAUUUAGUUUUCGGUGGACACAACAUCUUUAUUUUAUUUUUUAUGUGGUGCUGAGGAUCGAACCCAGCACCCCGUGCAUGCCAGGUGAGCGCGCUAAGGCUUGAGCCACAUCCCUGCCCUGAAGAACAUUUUCUUAAUGAUUUGCAAAACUAUAUUUCAAGACUUGGGUCCUAUUCCUUUUGUAAAGAGCUGCUCCACGGGUUUAUAAGAGAAUUGAUGCCAAGGAAGGGUUUAUGUUUUGGUAAGUUUUUAUUCUACAGCACAAAUUUUAGAACACAUCUUGUGUUGCCUGCCUGAAAGAUAAGAAGUGAAUUUACUCAUCGAUUGUUGUGAAGACAUGGCCACAGAUCUCCUAUGGUUAGGAUCUCGCCUCGUAACUGAUUGUGUUGCUCAGUUUCAGUUUUUCAAACUCUUUUCUCUUAGGUGCUUCAUAGGCAACUCAUCUCAAAUGAUAUUUUCAAAACUGACAUGUGAAGCACAGAGAUUGCCAGGUGUUCUCUAAUAACUGAAUAAGAAGAAAUGGAAAUUAGCACUCUUUAUGUCCGCACGCGUGUAUAAGCUAGUUUUAAAACAGUUCUUCCUGUUUGUUCAGCCUUCCUGUCGGAAUUCUGAGGGCUUCUGAAGUGAAUUUUCACUGUCACUUCAUCACAGUAAAAACUACUGAUCAAAACAAUGGCUUUUCAGACAGUGGGCUGUUUGGGAGAGUUUACAUCAAUGGAAUGCUCUUUCCUACCAGAAGGAACCUUAUGAAAACAUUUGAAAUUUCCACAUCUAGCCAAGUCCCAUUCAGCUUAGGAAGCUCCCUGCUCAUCUCUUCCACGGCUCUGAGAAGACCUCCCAUUAGGAGCUGGGAUUUGGUCCUCUGCUAAUGACUACAAGCUUGAAAUGUCCAUGACCUUUUCUAUCCCUGGGGCUGACUGCGGGGUCGGGCUUGAGGUCACUGGCUGGAAAAUCACAAUGUCCUGAUGUUGGGGGAGGAGAAGUGAACUUGCACUAGAGACAAGGCGGGACUUCCUCGGCCAUGAGGGAGUCAGUCCUGCUUCACCCAGGGGCUGCCUGCCCUGCGGCGCCAGGUGGGGAGAAUCAUGGAGAACCAGCUGUCCCCCGAGUCAGUGUCCAGACAUGGCAUCAGCACCCAUUGGGCUGUCCUGGGAAGUGUCGAGUGUCAAGUUUGUAUCCAUCUGUUUAUUUAAAUCGAGGACAUAAAGUUAACAUGAAGCACAGAGGAUUCUUCUGGUGAUGAUGGAGUCCCUGCCUGGACACAGGAAGUCCACAGCAGCCCUCAUUUCUCCUGCCCUGGGGGUGGCCUCCAUGAUUUCACAGCAGAUGGUGCAACCUGGACCUCAAGACCUGGUAUGAUUGUGUUCAACAGGACAAAAAUGUGUGCAUUUUACUGGAAUUUUCAUAAGGAAAUGGGUUUAAUGGAAGUUUCAUCAUAGAAGGAUGCACAUGUUGAGUUCCACUACCAAGUGUGCAUGCGCAUUUCAAGACCUGCACUAGGAGUGUGAGUGAGUCUUGUGAAGCUUUAAAACCAAGCAUGCUUUCUUCUCCAGGCCGGUAUAUACUUUGUAGAGGAAAAAAAAAAAUCCUUUUCCUCACCCAUUGCUAGGUUCACAGCUGAGCAGCCCCCAUAACAAAAGACAGUUCAACAAGAGAAAAACAUACUAAUUUAUUUCAAUUUUUUGUGACACAGGAGCCUUGGCAAACGACCCAGAUGAAGAGAGAAACCUGGGAGUUUUUUGCUCAGUUUGGUGAGGAAGCACACUGUUGUGCGGCAGGCAGGGUGACCGGACAAAGGAGGUUUGAGCUAAUGGGAGUCAAUGGGGAGGGGGACUAGCAAGUGCUGUUAGGUCAGAUUCCUGUGUCCCUGUGUCUUCAGAGGUGAGGGAACUCUGUUCCUCCAGGUGGAAGGAAGGCAUUUCUGCAAAGAGCAUCAAUGACCUGCUCUGGCGAAGGAUGGAGGAAGGUGAGAGGGGCCUUCCCGCCUCUGCCGCGAGUGCUGCAUUUUGGGGUAGCAGGUCCUGAACCCCAUCAAUUUGCUGAUCUCUACAAAAUGGACUACUUUUAUCUUCAUUGAAAAUCCAUGGGGAUGCUUUGCUCCCUUUCCAGAUGUUCUCAGUAGGUGUCCCGGUGUCACCUGGUGCCUCCGGAGGACUCAGACAACUGCCAUGAAACCAGAGUGUUCCACUUGCGCGGGGAUAAAAUCUAACCCGAAACGUGGCUCAGCAACUACCCAGAAGUUUGGGCAGCAGCUACAAGAGUUAAAUAUUUACAUGGACCAGGACUUGUGGAAGGAACUUCAUUCCAUGUUAUUGUUACUUAGUUCCUUCUAAAACCUGGCCAGGGGGUAGCACAGGAAAGUUUGAUAUAGCUCUGAGAAGGUCCACAUCUCCAAGAUGGUGUUGAUUUCAAGAAGAGAUCACUGAAAUGGUUGUCUCAAGUUCCUGUCCACUCCCCUCACUCCGUCCUUAAGUGCAAGGGGUUAGCUUUCAGCAGAACCAUGGGCAGUCAUGCUACUUACAUUCUCAAAUAAUUACCGGACCAUAAGGACAAUAUUUAGGUAAAAAUAAUUAGAACUAAUAAAAUCUGAUAAGAUGAUGGAUACAAAACUCAUUAUUAUGAAAAAGUCACUAGGUUCCAGUGAUAACUAUUUCAAUAUUUAAAAGGAGAAAAAAUUCUCUCACAUUACCAAAAUGAAUUAGUUUGGAAUUCUUAAGAAGUAAUCAGGGCUGGGGUUGUGGCUCAGUGCAGAGCACUUGCCUGGCAUGUGUGAAGCAUUGGGUUCGAUUCUCAGCACCACAUAUCAAUAAAUAAA